AGUGAACGCUGGCGGUAGGCCUAACACAUGCGAGUCGAACGGCAGCACAGUAAGAGCUUGCUCUUACGGGUGGCGAGUGGCGGACGGGUGAGGAAUACAUCGGAAUCUACUUUUUCGUGGGGGAUAACGUAGGGAAACUUACGCUAAUACCGCAUACGACCUACGGGUGAAAGCAGGGGAUCUUCGGACCUUGCGCGAUUGAAUGAGCCGAUGUCGGAUUAGCUAGUUGGCGGGGUAAAGGCCCACCAAGGCGACGAUCCGUAGCUGGUCUGAGAGGAUGAUUCGACCCCCCUGAACCGGGGCCCCGUCCAGACUCCUACGGGAGGCAGCAGUGGGGAAUAUUGGACAAUGGGCGCAAGCCUGAUCCAGCCAUACCGCGUGGGUGAAGAAGGCCUUCGGGUUGUAAAGCCCUUUUGUUGGGAAAGAAAAGCAGCAGGUUAAUACCCCGCUGUUCUGACGGUACCCAAAGAAUAAGCACCGGCUAACUUCGUG
rnacentral:rRNA from 1 species